GGGAGGACCAAGGGGUCCGUCCUCGGUCUUCUGCAGAAUCCUUCAUGGUUUGACGCGUCGCGGAUCUUCUCUAAAAACAGAAGUUCACUAUCUACGUCCACAAGUAAAGGUUUUGGACGUGGACACAAAUGGUACGCUGCGGUGUGUGCUCAUUAAUGCAACAGUUGAGGAGAGCUAGUGGGAGGGGGGUUAAAGAGGAGGUUCUGCAUCCACUACAUCAGGAGCAGAUUUCCAGGAGUCCACAGAGGAGCACCACAAACUAGGACUGAUAAGAUAUGGCAGCGAACUCUUCCUCCAACGACUCCCUUCAUCCUUCCAACCUCCCUUGCCUCUUCACACAACCAAGCUCCUUAAUCUUCAUUGCAUCCAGCACCACCGUCCUCCUCCUCUUGGUGCCCCUCUUCGUCCUGGUGCUCUACCUGGGUUUCCAACGAUGGCGGCGGCAGCGCUCCGCCUGCUCAUCAGCGGCGACGAGUCACUCGGACAGCUUCGCCUACCACAUGGUCUCCAUCGAGCUGCUUGGGGUUCUGGGGUUCAUCCUCAGCAACUCUAGUAUCCACGUCCCUACAUAUUCUGUGGGGCUGUUUCUUCUGUCGGUGACCUGGUUCGGACAAACGUCCUUUCACAUCCUGACCUGCGUGGAGCGCUACCUGGCCGUGGUCCAUCCCGUCACCUACCUGAGCCUGAGGAGAGAGCGGGGCAUCAGAAUCAGAAACAUCUCCAUCGGAGGGGUUUGGCUGGUCUGUUUCGGUGAGGCGACUAUGGACGUUUUGGGAUAUUUAUCUUUAAAUUUUAAUUUUUGCAUUCUGAUCUUCGCCAUGGCCGUAGUGUCUUUCUGCAGCCUGUCUGUUCUCUGCGUUCUGAUUCGUCCACGGCCGGGGGAACAGGGUGGGGACAGGGUGGACCAAUCCAAGCGGAGGGCCGUCUGCACCAUCGUGGCCAUCCUGGGAGUGCUGCUGUUGAGGUGUGCGACCGGGCUUGCUUGGGUUAUUCUCUAUAAGUUGGGGAAAGAGGAUCCGUGUGAGUUUAUACCAGCAGAAACUUGGACGAAUGUCCUGACUAGUCUGGUUUUACCUCUUUUGUAUCUACACCGAGCGGGAAGAUUACCGGGUUGUAAGAACACCAAUUAAUGCGGUAUGGAAUUUGCAGAAUUGACUUCCAAAGUGAAACAAUUACGUAUAAAGUCGAAUUUUAAAUUCAACUUGGCUUUCUAGCAACCCAGCUCUGAAGCAUUGAAAGUCACCUUGAAAAGAUACAUACAUUGACAUUGCAUUGAUAUUGCAUUCAUUGUUUCCCUACAAACAAAGUUGGGAGACAGAUCGGCUGAUGGAGGAUAAACAUCUGUUAUAAUUAGAGAUUAAAAAAAAAAAUGUAAACACCCUCCGUUAAAAAACAUCUGAUGUAUUUUUGUAGAUUUUCGUUUGAUGUAUAAGUGUUUUUUACUUCAAUUAAUUUA
ensembl:lncRNA